GGGGAUAUAGCUCAGUUGGUAGAGUGUUGCCUUGCAUGCAUAAGGCCCUGGGUUCAAACCUCAGCCCCA
rnacentral:tRNA from 1 species